rnacentral:rRNA from 1 species
UNUGACUUGAGUGCAGGAGGGGAGAGUGGAAUUCCAUGUGUAGCGGUGAAAUGCGUAGAUAUACGGAGGAACACCAGUGGCGAAAGCGGCUCUNUGGUCUGUCACUGACGCUGAGGCUCGAAAGCGUGGGUAGCGAACAGGAUUAGAUACCCUGGUAGUCCACGCCGUAAACGAUGAGUGCUAGGUGUUAGGCCCUUUCCGGGGCUUAGUGCCGGAGCUAACGCAAUAAGCACUCCGCCUGGGGAGUACGACCGCAAGGUUGAAACUCAAAGGAAUUGACGGGGGCCCGCACAAGCGGUGGAGCAUGUGGUUUAGUUCGAAGCAACGCGAAGAACCUUACCAGGUCUUGACAUCCCGAUGCUAUUCUUAGAGAUAGGAAGUUACUUCGGUACAUCGGAGACAGGUGGUGCAUGGUUGUCGUCAGCUCGUGUCGUGAGAUGUUGGGUUAAGUCCCGCAACGAGCGCAACCCUUAUUGUUAGUUGCCAUCAUUAAGUUGGGCACUCUAGCGAGACUGCCGGUAAUAAACCGGAGGAAGGUGGGGAUGACGUCAAAUCAUCAUGCCCCUUAUGACCUGGGCUACACACGUGCUACAAUGGUCGGUACAACGAGUUGCGAGCCGGUGACGGCAAGCUAAUCUCUGAAAGCCGAUCUCAGUUCGGAUUGGAGGCUGCAACUCGCCUCCAUGAAGUCGGAAUCGCUAGUAAUCGCGGAUCAGCACGCCGCGGUGAAUACGUUCCCGGGCCUUGUACACACCGCCCGUCACACCACGAGAGUUUGUAACACCCGAAGUCGGUGAGGUANCCUUUUAGGG